CCUAGGCUAUAAGCAUUUUUAAAAACCUAUCUCUAGAAUUUAACUGCCUGUUCUUUGACUUGAUUCAUUCAGAUGUUGAAGGUGUGCCUAGUAAUGGUAUUAAGUAAUAGCAGCCACCUUGGGGGUUAUGGGUAUUCUGCAUCCAGCUAGGGAAGGCAACAGGUUGGCUAGUAUCUUUUCAAACAUUAAAGUCCUAGGGACAUACCUUACCUAGGUAAAUAACUUAUGAGAUUAGCAUAAUGCUAGGCUGAGGGGAAAGGAAAACUCUAACAUUUGGCUGUCUUCCACAGGGACUAAUCUGCCUAAUUGCAGUUCUAUCAGCUUCUCUUAGGGGGAUUCAUUGUAGCAUAUGUCACAAGGUUAUGCUAGAAGGGCUUUGUGGAGCAAUAUGGGAAUUCAAAACAUCAAAUCAAUCCAUAGCUAGUCAAUAUCACUUCAUGGAGUGUGAAUAGUAGCUUGCUGUGUAUGUAAUUGUAUGUAAUUUUGUCUAGACACAGUUGUUCUCUCCAUUUGGAACUGCAUUGAGAUGCAUCCAGUUAAGUGUGUGUGCAGGAUAUUCAGAGUAGGAAUCAGUGACCCUGACAGAAUUCUGAGAAGUAAUGGGGUAAGAAAAGAACUUGCUUCUGUGGACUCUCAGGAAAACUGGUUCCUUCCUACCUAGCUGAAAAGAUAGCCACCCCUCCUGCCCCAGUCUAUAGGACGAUCUGCGUUUUUGAUCACCCUGCUCCCCCAGGAGGAGCCUGGAGAAUCCCCAUUGAUCUCAGGCAUGGAGGUUUCUAUUCUGUGCACAGCCAUCACUGGAGAGAGACUUGCUUGUCUAUAUUAGGAGCUAGUCGGUGAGUCAGUGGGAAAUCAUCUGACAACGUUUAAACAUAUCGGCUUAGUAAACAUUUCCACACAAAAAAAUGAUAGAUACAGUUCAAAACAAAAUAUAUAAAAUGCAGGAUGAAGUGAAUCAUCCAAAAGAAGCCAGAUCUUUCAGAUUGGGCAGAGCUCCAAAUACUAGCUGAAAUCAAAAUCAUUAGGGCUUUGUUCUCUCUCGCUUUCUGUCUGAGUAACACUUUGGUUCCUCAAUACCAAAAGUCUGAUUCAUGUUAA